UACGUAGGGUGCAGGCGUUAAUCGGAAUUACUGGGCGUAAAGCGUGCGCAGGCGGUCUUUUAAGUCAGAUGUGAAAUCCCCGGGCUUAACCUGGGAACUGCGUUUGAAACUGAAAGGCUAGAGUGUGGCAGAGGGGGGUGGAAUUCCACGUGUAGCAGUGAAAUGCGUAGAUAUGCGGAGGAACACCGAUGGCGAAGGCAAUCCCCUGGGCCUGCACUGACGCUCAUGCACGAAAGCGUGGGGAGCAAACAGG
rnacentral:rRNA from 1 species